UACGGGGGGGGCAAGCGUUGUUCGGAAUUACUGGGCGUAAAGGGCUCGUAGGCGGCCAACUAAGUCAGACGUGAAAUCCCUCGGCUUAACCGGGGAACUGCGUCUGAUACUGGAUGGCUUGAAUUCGGGAGAGGGAUGCAGAAUUCCAGGUGUAGCGGUGAAAUGCGUAGAUAUGCGGAGGAACACCGAUGGCGAAGGCAAUCCCCUGGACCUGUACUGACGCUCAUGCACGAAAGCGUGGGGAGCAAACAGG
rnacentral:rRNA from 1 species